GCAAUCAUAGUAUAAUGGAUAGAACGCAAGACUCCGACUCUUGAAAUGUGGGUUCGAUUCCCGCUGGUUGCA
rfam:Lachnobacterium bovis DSM 14045 genome assembly, contig: IE72DRAFT_scaffold00001.1